rnacentral:rRNA from 1 species
GACGAACGCUGGCGGCGUGCCUAAUACAUGCAAGUUGAGCGCUGAAGGUUGGUACUUGUACCAACUGGAUGAGCAGCGAACGGGUGAGUAACGCGUGGGGAAUCUGCCUUUGAGCGGGGGACAACAUUUGGAAACGAAUGCUAAUACCGCAUAAAAACUUUAAACACAAGUUUUAAGUUUGAAAGAUGCAAUUGCAUCACUCAAAGAUGAUCCCGCGUUGUAUUAGCUAGUUGGUGAGGUAAAGGCUCACCAAGGCGAUGAUACAUAGCCGGCCUGAGAGGGUGAUCGGCCACAUUGGGACUGAGACACGGCCCAAACUCCUACGGGAGGCGGCAGUAGGGAAUCUUCGGCAAUGGACGAAAGUCUGACCGAGCAACGCCGCGUGAGUGAAGAAGGUUUUCGGAUCGUAAAACUCUGUUGGUAGAGAAGAACGUUGGUGAGAGUGGAAAGCUCAUCAAGUGACGGUAACUACCCAGAAAGGGACGGCUAACUACGUG